rnacentral:rRNA from 1 species
CGGUGUUUAACUGGCGUGAUGUGGGACGUCCUACCGGUGGGCUUAGCCUCGCGAGGGGCGGCCCAACUAAUAUCCCGUCGCGGUGCUCUUUACUGAGUGUCGAGUCGGGCCGGUACGUUUACGUUGAACAAAUUAGAGUGCUUAAAGCAGGCUAUCCUCGCCUGAAUACUGCGUGCAUGGAAUAAUGGAAUAGGACCUCGGUUCUAUUUUGUUGGUUUUCGGAACCCCGAGGUAAUGAUUAAUAGGGACAGAUGGGGGCAUUCGUAUUGCGACGUUAGAGGUGAAAUUCUUGGAUCGUCGCAAGACGGACAGAAGCGAAAGCAUUUGCCAAAAAUGUUUUCAUUAAUCAAGAACGAAAGUUAGAGGUUCGAAGGCGAUCAGAUACCGCCCUAGUUCUAACCAUAAACGAUGCCAGCUAGCGAUCCGCCGAAGUUCCUCCGAUGACUCGGCGGGCAGCUUCCGGGAAACCAAAGCUUUUGGGUUCCGGGGGAAGUAUGGUUGCAAAGCUGAAACUUAAAGGAAUUGACGGAAGGGCACCACCAGGAGUGGAGCCUGCGGCUUAAUUUGACUCAACACGGGAAACCUCACCAGGCCCAGACACCGGAAGGAUUGACAGAUUGAUAGCUCUUUCUUGAUUCGGUGGGUGGUGGUGCAUGGGCCGUUCUUAGUUGGUGGAGCGAUUUGUCUGGUUAAUUCCGAUAACGAACGAGACUCUAGCCUGCUAAAUAGGCGUACCUUAUGGUAUCGCGAAGGCCCCCGGCUUCGGCCGGUGGGUUUUUACUACCAACGUACAAACAAAUCUUCUUAGAGGGACAGGCGG